GGGAAAAGGCAUGCGGACAAAGAGGCAACCGUGUCUGGAACCUUUCACUCGUCCAAGUGUCACGUCUGUCACAAUCUGGCCAUUAACCACCGACGCACCACGCCCUCCUCCAGUCCCCGCCCCCUGAAUGUUAUAUGUAUAUACCGCCAGGUAUCGGGCGGUAUCAAUAUCGUGGCACGUAAGUACGUGAGCGGGCGCACGAACCUUCUUGAUUUAUCUCCGCGUGUUGCAACAACUGUGUGGAUGCAACCGAGGAAAGCACUCAGCACCCAUUUCACUCAAGGCUCUCUCUUCCGCUCUCUCUGGGGGAGAGAGUUUUGCAAUUUCACUCAAGGCCAAGGGCUCUCUCCUGCUCUCGCUCUCUCUCUCUCUCUCUAUAACCGUCUGGCUCUCUGAUGGCAGCAGCUGCUCCUGUUUUGCAACUUCCUUUUUGGUUUGUUUCCUUAAAAGAACGGAAAAGAGUGGGGAAGAGGGAAACGAGAAAGAUAGCGGGGAAGGGAGGGUGGCUAACAGAGGGGGUUGCAGCUUCCUUUUAUGUCUGGCUGGAAAAUGCACAGAAAAAAAUGCAAGGACCAAAGAGAGAUCGAAAAUCGCAAAAUCGGCGAUCAAAACGAGUCCGUGUGGAAAAUACUGGAAAACAAAAGCCAGAUCGACAAUCUCGGGACCCCAAAACAUCCCUAAAGAUCUAUAUUUAGUCCAGAGACUAGGCAUCUGUUCUUGAAAAUGAAAAUAAAAAUUAAAAUAAAAGAAAACUCAAA